AUACAUGCAAGUCGAGCGAACGGACGAGAAGCUUGCUUCUCUGAUGUUAGCGGCGGACGGGUGAGUAACACGUGGAUAACCUACCUAUAAGACUGGGAUAACUUCGGGAAACCGGAGCUAAUACCGGAUAAUAUUUUGAACCGCAUGGUUCAAAAGUGAAAGACGGUCUUGCUGUCACUUAUAGAUGGAUCCGCGCUGCAUUAGCUAGUUGGUAAGGUAACGGCUUACCAAGGCAACGAUGCAUAGCCGACCUGAGAGGGUGAUCGGCCACACUGGAACUGAGACACGGUCCAGACUCCUACGGGAGGCAGCAGUAGGGAAUCUUCCGCAAUGGGCGAAAGCCUGACGGAGCAACGCCGCGUGAGUGAUGAAGGUCUUCGGAUCGUAAAACUCUGUUAUUAGGGAAGAACAUAUGUGUAAGUAACUGUGCACAUCUUGACGGUACCUAAUCAGAAAGCCACGGCUAACUACGUGCCAGCAGCCGCGGUAAUACGUAGGUGGCAAGCGUUAUCCGGAAUUAUUGGGCGUAAAGCGCGCGUAGGCGGUUUUUUAAGUCUGAUGUGAAAGCCCACGGCUCAACCGUGGAGGGUCAUUGGAAACUGGAAAACUUGAGUGCAGAAGAGGAAAGUGGAAUUCCAUGUGUAGCGGUGAAAUGCGCAGAGAUAUGGAGGCACACCAGUGGCGAAGGCGACUUUCUGGUCUGUAACUGACGCUGAUGUGCGAAAGCGUGGGGAUCAAACAGGAUUAGAUACCCUGGUAGUCCACGCCGUAAACGAUGAGUGCUAAGUGUUAGGGGGUUUCCGCCCCUUAGUGCUG
rnacentral:rRNA from 1 species